AUUGAACGCUGGCGGCAGGCCUAACACAUGCAAGUCGAACGAGUGGCGGACGGGUGAGUAAUGUCUGGGAAACUGCCUGAUGGCGGGGGAUAACUACUGGAAACUGUCGCUAAUACCGCCUACCACCAGAUGUGCCCAGAUGGGAUUAGCUAGUUGGUGGGGUAACGGCUCACCAAGGCGACGAUCCCUCGCUGGUCUGAGAGGAAGACCGGCCACACUGGAACGGAGACACGGUCCAGACUCCUACGGGAGGCAGCAGGGGGGAAUAUGGCACAAUGGGCGCAAGCCUGAUGCAGCCAUGCCGCGUGUAUGAAGAAGGCCUUCGGGUUGUAAAGUACUUGCAGCGGGGAGGCGUUACCCGCAGAAGAAGCACCGGCUAACUCCGUGCCAGCCGCCGCGGUAAUAC
rnacentral:rRNA from 1 species